GGGAGGGGGGCUCCACGGAGCUCCAGCCAGGGCCGCGGUUCGCCUGCACGUCACGGCUACUCAAACCCAAGCACGUCCCGAAAGCGGUAUUUUCUGCGUCUGGGAGGUUUUUGCAUCCUCAGUUCCCACCGCUGGGGCUGGCGGCGACCAACUGUAAGAGAAACUCACUGGGAGGCGAGGCAGGGGGGUGCGGAGGAUGGGAAGGCGACUCUGAAGGGUGGGAAGUGAAUGCUGGACUUGAUCGUCUUUCUCUUUCUUUCAGCGCAGACCUGUCGCAGCCAGAGAGCUGUCAUUUCAGUACCGGGAUUCAGAAUUGAUCCAGUCCGCAGCGGAGGGGGCACAUCCCAGCUACCGAGCUGCUGAGUGUCUCUGGCUGGAACAAUAGUAUUUUUUUCUCUGCGAGGCUGCAAUUAACAUCUUAUUUGUUCUGGCUCCAUACAGGCUUUGUCAGGAUCGCGGUGCGGCGACCGACGUUGGGCUCUUGCAUUGCUUUGUGCUUGGCAAUGGAAUCAUGGUUUCGGGGUCUAAACUUUUGUUUCGUUUUGUAGUCUUAAUGUAUCUGAUUCUUUUUCAAGUUUCCCUAGUAACAGGUUUGGGGACGGGGUGGGAAGAAGCGAGAAAAGGGGUGAAGAGAAAAAACCAGAUUAUAUAGAAAGGAAAAAGGGAAAAGGGAUGUUUCCCCACCUUUUAAUCUAACUAUCUAUCUGUCUGUCUAUCUAUCAUCAUAGAUAGUCAUUUUGCCUCCUGGACAGUUGGCUGACGAAGUGUCUGAUAAACCAGCUUCAGAUACAUGCUACAAAAGGUCAUUCGCCUCCUGAUUAUGUUUCUACUUGUAAACGCAGUUGGUGGUUUGCAAAACAAGUGCUAAAAUAGUGCAGUGAUGUGGUGGGAGGAAACCAUAAUGGGUAAUUCAUAUAAAGUGCUGGAAUCUUCGUAAGGGUGAGUUUCUCGAGCGGCAGGUGAAGUUGAAUAAAGCAAUUUUCCAUCAUUUGUUCCCCUCACUCUUGCAUUUUUUUCCUCCGCUUGUUUCUCUCCCCUGGGGCGAUUAUGGAUAGCCAAGAACACCAUUUUAAAAGAGAUUGAUAGUGAAAACAGGAAGUUUAUGGUCUGUUAUCCACUGGAGUUGUUUGAAAUAUUAAAAUUGGUCCUUUACUUCUUAAUGCAUAUUAAUAGAGUGACCCUCUUCAAGGCUUUCCCGUCUUAAACGAAUGCCUGGGAUAAACACUGUAAGGGGAAACAGUUAAUAAUUCCCCAGCAGGCUUUAACUAUUUUCCCAGUAACAAAUCACCGGCAAGAGAGCAGCCUGGGUGGCAUUUUGGUUUUGUGUCAUUUUGGUUCUUUACAAUAUUUUUUAUUCAUUUAAGGAAAUGUUAAAAGGAAAUAAUUAGGGUUUAUGUCCAGAACAAAUUUUGAAACACCGUUUAAGCAACACAUUUUCUUUUAAAAACAAAGAACAUUGAGCAACACAAAGGAGAAAAACAUUUUAUUUAUUUCAACUUCCCUAGAGAUCGUAAUUAUGAUUUUCGCAAGGCAAUUUGGUCAGUUCUGUUACUUUAUCCAGAGGAAAAAAAAGCAUGACAGAUGUGGAAUAAAAACGGAGGAAAAAAUGCUUUGGAUGGUUUAUACAUAAAAAGGAAAGAAUGUAAUGUGAGGUUCAGUUAUACCUCUAUUUUGCAUCUAGUGAUUUCUCAUAUUAUCUUGUAACACUGAUUUUGAUGUUUCUUAGAAAUUCUUAAAGUCAUGACACAGUGGCAUAAGAAUAACAGCUGAAAGGGACAAUUUAAAAGCCUAAAUCCUAAAUGGAAAGGUUCACUUACUCCCAGGAUCAUUUAUAUUCAAGUAGAAGUCAGGGCAGGGUCAGAAAAGAAAGCCACCCUUAAUAAAGCGCUUCACCCUUCACAUUGUUUCUCAUAACCUUCAUAAAUUGCAGGCUACUGAGCUGGCCUGAUGAUGAUCCUUCUGAGAUAUAUUUAUAGCAGAUGAUUUGUGGAUGAUAACUACGCCAAGCAAGACACUGUCUCCAGUAACCCCAGGCUCGUCUGACUUCCUCAGGGGAUUAUAAUAAAGAAUCACAAAAAGAACCCUAUAUGGACAGUCUGGUCUCUGGACACUAACAACAGCACAAUCCAAAGGCAAAGAAAGGAGGAACCACCUUGUUUCAUGUCUGCAAGCUGCUCCAUAUGAAAGCAUUGCUGACAUGUUGACCCAACAGCAAAAAGAGAGCAGCAGUUUACACACCCUCAGCUCUCUGUCCUUUCCUUUCUAUUGAUGUUGGUCCACUUUUAUGACUGAAUACAUAUUAAAAUCACCAUUUCAAAUUAUAA
rnacentral:lncRNA from 10 species